GCGGUCAACCCCAGUAGCACAAACCAGAGGGAGAGAGUUUCCUUAAAUAAAAGCAGAAGGAGAGAGAUGCCUGAGAUUACGGCGCGGCCGCCGGCCGACGGCGGCAGCGCGGUUGCCGUCUUGCCGACCAUGAGGAAGAGCUCAUCAGUCCAGAGCCCCAGACCCAGAGAUCUGCGUAGGCAUUGGAAUUUGAUGAAAAUGUUGUGUUCAUUUAUUUAGUACUCUCACGAAGGUAAGAAGAACGGAUGCGCGCUGACUGCCUUUCUCCUGCCAUCGUCCAGCAUGACACCUCUGGAAUAAAUGAAGGGUGGGCAUUUUUUUACUAGCAAGUCUGCCAUCAGUAUGCAAGUUAACUAAGUAUAUUAGAUCAUUGAGAAAUGCAGUUGGUAGUUCUAAUGAGAUGAAUGCAUGAUCAUUAAUAAUGAUAGGUCUGUUCUCAUCACUGUAUAUCUAUGUUUAACAUUCAUGCAAGUAUAGCUUUCGGUCCAGCAGCCCAGCACCAAUCAUGGUGGUUGUGUAGCUUUUGCGCCAUUUGGGAGUUUCUUCCAAUGAAAAUACAAGUGAUUCAUGUUUGGAUGUUUGUUUCUAAAAAAGGUAUCAUGUCAUGCUUUGGAAUCUAAUGAAGAAAUAGGGGUAAUUAAUAUUGAGAG